GUAGAUAGACCCAACCACUUUCCAUUGUGCACCGACCUGAGACGAGGCGACAACCUGAGGGAGACGACGACCUGGUGCAGCGGCGUUGACCUAAGCAGCGAGGACGACCUGGUGCAGCGGCACCUUGGGUUCUAUAUAGACAAUGUCAACAUCUUGACGGCAACCAAAGCUCAUUAAAGUAUUUGAACUGUAUCGGCAAAUGUCAAAAAAGAGCAUUAGUGAGAAUAUCAGAGUCUUUUAAAAAUAAGAACAUUUUAUACUAUUGUUGCAAAUAUACACCAAGUGGAUGUGGGUUCUUCUCCUGGUGUGAAGCCAUUGAUGUACCAAAUCGACAAAAUUGAUGGGAGACAAUCCACAAACAAUUGGAGGUGAAAGAAUGCAAGAAAAUCAACAGGUGAGAGAAGAGAUCUGAAGCCUGAAGAAAAGAAUGACGCCGAUGGAGAAGUCUUUUGGAACAUUGACUAUUGCGAUAGUUGUUAUGUAAGUGUUCUUUGUUGUGAUGAUUAUUAAAAAAUGAAAAAAAGGUUAGUUGUUGGGAUCAUGUACUAGGGCUUCUAUGAGUUUUAAUGAAGGACCUAUUUUGAAGUUAUUAAUGAAAUGAGAUUUUUUUUUUUU